rnacentral:rRNA from 1 species
UACGGAGGGUGCAAGCGUUACUCGGAAUUCCUGGGCGUCAAGCGCACGCAGGUGGCUGAGUCAGUCGAUUGUGAAAGCCCUGGGCUUAACCUGGGAAUUGCAGUCGAUACUACUCAGCUAGAGUAUGGGAGAGGGUAGUGGAAUUCCCGGUGUAGCGGUGAAAUGCGUAGAUAUCGGGAGGAACAUCAGUGGCGAAGGCGGCUACCUGGCCCAAUACUGACACUCAGGUGCGACAGCGUGGGGAGCAAACAGG